rnacentral:rRNA from 1 species
GUGGGGAAUAUUGGACAAUGGGCGCAAGCCUGAUCCAGCCAUGCCGCGUGUGUGAAGAAGGCCUUCGGGUUGUAAAGCACUUUUGUCCGGGAAGAAAUCUUCCAGGUUAAUACCCUGGGAGGCUGACGGUACCGGAAGAAUAAGCACCGGCUAACUUCGUGCCAGCAGCCGCGGUAAUACGAAGGGUGCAAGCGUUACUCGGAAUUACUGGGCGUAAAGCGUGCGUAGGUGGUUCGUUAAGUCUGCCGUGAAAGCCCCGGGCUCAACCUGGGAAUGGCGGUGGAUACUGGCGGGCUAGAGUGCGGUAGAGGGUGGUGGAAUUCCCGGUGUAGCAGUGAAAUGCGUAGAGAUCGGGAGGAACAUCUGUGGCGAAGGCGGCCACCUGGACCAGCACUGACACUGAGGCACGAAAGCGUGGGGAGCAAACAGGAUUAGAUACCCUGGUAGUCC